rnacentral:rRNA from 1 species
CUACGGGAGGCAGCAGUGGGGAAUAUUGGACAAUGGGGGAAACCCUGAUCCAGCAAUGCCGCGUGUGCGAUGAAGGCCUGCGGGUUGUAAAGCACUUUCGGUGGGGAAGAAAUGCUCAAAUAUAAUACAUUUGAGAGCUGACGUUACCCACAGAAGAAGCACCGGCAAACUCUGUGCCAGCAGCCGCGGUAAUACAGAGGGUGCAAGCGUUAAUCGGAGUUACUGGGCGUAAAGGGCGCGUAGGCUGAUGCUUAAGUCGGUUGUGAAAUCCCUGGGCUUAACCUAGGAAUUGCAGUCGAUACUGGGCGUCUAGAGUAUGGUAGAGGAAAGUGGAAUUUUCGGUGUAGUGGUUAAAUACGUAGAUAUCGAAAAGAACGCCAGUGGCGAAGGCGACUUUCUGGACCAAUACUGACGCUGAGGCGCGAAAGCAUGGGGAGCAAACAGGAUUAGAUACCCCUGUAGUC